rnacentral:rRNA from 11 species
GAGACCAAGGAGCUGGUAUCAGGCACACUUAAACGUAGCCCACGACGCCUUGCUUAGCCACACCCCCAAGGGAAUCCAGCAGUGAUAGAUUUUAAGCCAUAAGUGAAAACUUGACUUAGUUAAUGCUAGCAAGAGCCGGUAAAACUCGUGCCAGCCACCGCGGUUAUACGAGAGACUCAAGUUGACAGUCAUCGGCGUAAAGAGUGGUUAAGAUGUAUAAAAACUAGAGCUAAAUACCCUCAAAGCUGUUAUACGCUCUCGAAGGUAAGAAGCCCAACUACGAAAGUGGCUCUAUUAUAUCUGAUUCCACGAAAGCUAGGGCACAAACUGGGAUUAGAUACCCCACUAUGCCUAGCCCUAAACAUUGACAGUUAAUUACACCCACUGUCCGCCUGGGAACUACGAGCACCAGCUUAAAACCCAAAGGACUUGGCGGUGCUUUAGACCCACCUAGAGGAGCCUGUUCUAGAACCGAUAAUCCCCGUUAAAACCUCACCCUUCCUUGUCAUUUCC